rnacentral:misc_RNA from 1 species
GAUGAAGAACGCAGCGAAAUGCGAUAAGUAGUGUGAAUUGCAGAAUUCAGUGAAUCAUCGAAUCUUUGAACGCACAUUGCGCCCCUUGGUAUUCCAUGGGGCAUGCCUGUUCGAGCGUCAUUUGUACCUUCAAGCCUUGCUUGGUGUUGGGUGUUUGUCUCGCCUCUGCGCGCAGACUCGCCUCAAAACAAUUGGCAGCCGGCGUAUUGAUCUCGGAGCGCAGUACAUCUCGCGCUUUGCACUCAGAACGACGACGUCCAAAAGUACAUUUUUACACUCUUGACCUCGGAUCAGGUAGGGAUACCCGCUGAACUUAAGCAUAUCAAUAAGCGGAGGA